rnacentral:rRNA from 1 species
AACGAACGCUGGCGGCAUGCCUAACACAUGCAAGUCGAACGAGACCUUCGGGUCUAGCAGCGCACGGGUGCGUAACGCGUGGGAACCUGCCCUUAGGUUCGGAAUAACUCCCCGAAAGGGGUGCUAAUACCGGAUAAUGUCUUCGGACCAAAGAUUUAUCGCCUUUGGAUGGGCCCGCGUUGGAUUAGCUAGUUGGUAGGGUAAAAGCCUACCAAGGCGACGAUCCAUAGCUGGUCUGAGAGGAUGAUCAGCCACACUGGGACUGAGACACGGCCCAGACUCCUACGGGAGGCAGCAGUGGGGAAUAUUGGACAAUGGGCGCAAGCCUGAUCCAGCAAUGCCGCGUGAGUGAUGAAGGCCUUAGGGUUGUAAAGCUCUUUUACACGCGAUGAUAAUGACAGUACCGGGAGAAUAAGCUCCGGCUAACUCCGUG